UGGCUGGGUUGUGUUGAGUGGGCUUCAUUUGUUGGUUUGGGAUAAACAGGUAAUGUGCGGCCGGUCUGCACAAAACCCUUUCCCUGUGCCUGAGCGGUUAAUGUUAUUCCCUAACUAUUUCGGCAGGAUGUUAAAAUUCCGUAACUAUUUCUGCGAGAGACUGGAUGCGAUAAAGGCUGCUGAAGUAAAAUAAAGGCUUAUCCCUGUCGAUUAAAAGAAUAAAUGAAGCUUCACUUCUGCUUCUUGUCAAGGCGGAUUUUUAAAAUACUUCAGUUGUCUUCGUACUGCCUCAGUAUAAGGUUCUAAGCAAUGUUAAGUGUACUUGUGUGGCUCUGCAUACCCAGCCCUUUUUGGGAGGGUUAGCACACUGCCAGUUCAGCUCUCUGAAGUCACUUUGAUGGUGACAAGGCUGUUGCAAGAGGAGGGCAGCAUGGCUGAUGUGCCCGAGAGCAAGACAGCAGGGAGCGAGCAGGACUGUCCCUUUCAG